rnacentral:lncRNA from 1 species
AAAACUAGGGCCUGUAGGACCUGCCUUGUUGAAAAUGAAUCCUAAAUGAAAUAGUAUGAACAUGUUAAGAUUUUGUUAUAUAUUCAUUCCCCCAGCUGUGUUUUGAGGUGUGCGUAUGACAUUUUCCUGUUUUUGAAGAUGACUUGCUCUCAAGUAAUUUUCAGAACACUCUCAGUUCAGGAUACUCUGUUCAAAGUGCAGCACUCUAGCAUAUCACACAUUUCUCACAGCUUGAGAAAAGUCAAAUCAAUUAAAAACACCACUGGUGUCCUGGAUACAUCAUGAAAAGGCUUUAAUAAAGAAAGCAAUUUGUGGAAGGUCUGUGACAGUGUUUCCCAACCCUGGUCCUUGAGUACCCCCCAACAGUACACAGUUUUGUUGUAGCCCUUGGAAACACUGGUCUAUGAAAUCAGGUCCCUCGUAAUAUCGGAGAUCGGAUCAAAGUUGAGUCAGAUAUUCUCAGGGAUCCAUCGAUUCUUAGAGAGGUCAUGUAAAACAUUUAUAAUUGUGUUAUAAACCAACAUAUCACAUCAAAAGGGCUUUAGUCAUGGAAGUGAUGGCUGUGACUGAUAUUUCACCUCCACUGUGUUUUUCAUACAGUGAUGGCCAUCACUUUGUUUCAGACUCCUUGGUUUUCUGAUCUUCUCCUGCAGUCAUAGCUGCUGCUGUAUCCGUCUUAGCUGCUGCAGGCUAUUGAAGCGAUAUAGAAUCAAGACUACUCCUUUGCUUUCAUCCAGACUACAGCAUCUAAACCACAGGUGUGUUUGAGUGCUCUUCAAGGGUUGUGAGUGCUAAGAAUUUUUCCCUCUUCGUUCCACAUUAUCUUUCCCACUGAUGUUGCCAUAUAUGGAUGUUUAGGGGUAAUGCUUGUAAUCUGAUGAAGUGUCACAUCCUGCCUCUUACACCUUUUACUUUGUUUCAUUUUUUGCUGUUCUUUUUUUAGUACUCAUGGUAUCCCUUUUCAAUCUAAUCAUCUUCCUAAACCACUGUAGAAUGUUGAUAGAGCUGUUAUCUCUCUCUCUCUCUCGCUUUCUCUACCUCGCUCUCGCUCUAGCUCUCGCUCUCUCUACCUCGCUCUCGCUCUAGCUCUCGCUCUCUCUACCUCGCUCUCGCUCUCUCUCUCUCUCUCUUUCUCUUUCUCUCUCUCCCUCGCUCUCUCUCGCUCUCACUCACUCUCGCUCUCUCUCUUUCUCUUUCUCUCUCGCUCGCUCUAGCUCUCCCUCUCUCUCGCUCUCACUCUCUCUCUCUUUCUUUCUCUUCCUCGCUCUCACUCUCUCUCUCUCUCUUUCUCUUUCUCUUUCUCUCUCUCCCUCGCUCUCGCUCUCUCGCUCUCGCUCUCACUCACUCUCGCUCUCUCUCUUUCUCUUUCUCUCUCGCUUGCUCUCUCUCCCUGUCUCGCUCUCACUCUCACUCUUGCUCUCUCUCUGUCUCUUUCUCUUUCUCUUUCUUUCUCUCUCUCCCUCGCUCUAGCUCUCUCCCUCUCUCUCGGUCUCACUCGCUCUCUCUCUCUCUUUCUCUUUCUCUUUCUCUCCCUUGCUCUCACUCUCUCUCGCUCUCUCUCUCUUUCUCUUUCUCUCUCUCCCUCGCUCUCGCUCGCUCUCUCCAUCGCUCUCGCUCUAGCUCUAGCUCUAGCUCCCUCCCUCUCCCUCUCCCUCUGCCUCUCUCUCUUCAAUCCCUCAGCACUUGAGCUACAGUAUUCCAAUGCUCUCCAUGCUUCAUUUCCACUCCAUCUCAGCCCUCACCACACUUUUCUGCUUCAGAAUACUGAACUUCAAGAGCUAUCUUCUUUUACUCCAUCUAUCUCCUCUCAUUUUCAUUUCUUCCUGGCCUUGGGAUAUUCCCGUGUGGCAGACAGAAUGGCUUCAACAUUUUUACUCUAAGCUCUGGAUUUCAGUAUUGCUCCUUAAUGUGUAGCCAGUGUUUCUACAGAUAUAGAGAUGCUUUCUGUUCUUAUAUCAUAGUCUGUCUUGAAUAUACUUGUCAUGGAUCCCUCCGGGAACUUUCAUCACGCACACCUGUCCCCUAUUCCCACUGAUUAGUAAUUGUAUAUAUGUGCCCUUUGUUCGCCAUUGUGCUAUUGAUUAUCGUUACAAUGUCCAUUGGUGCGUGUGAGUACCUGUGCUGUGUGUUUUGGGCUUUCAUGCCGUUGUGGAUUGCGCAGAUGAUUACGGGUCUCGUCCCGUGUGUUAAUCAUUGUGCGAGUGUGUAUUCAUUCGAGGUACUCCUCGCUCUUUUGUUUGGGUUUCAACCCUGUGUUUUGUUACGUGUAUGUUUGGUUUUCGUCCCCGUGCCUUUACACGGCACACAGUAAUUUGGGCUGAAUAAAAAACCCUAUACGCAUUCCUGCGCCUGUCUCCCGAAUCAUUGUUACCGACAUGACAGAAUAAUCUACCAUUAAGGGAAACAGCGGGAAUGGCCCGUCCGUUCGACGCUGCGACUUGUCCGUCCGGCGCCGCCGCAACUUCGGCAGCUGCAACUGGGUCGUCCGACGUCACCACAACGGGUCCGUCCGACGACGCAACUUCAGCAGCUACAACUGGCCCGUCCGAUGCCGCCACAACCGGACCGUCCGACGCCACUGCUACUGGUCUGUCCAACGACAACGGAACUUCGGCAGCUGCAUCAGGUUUCUGGAAGGACUGUGGGGGGAUGGACUGUGAGGGGAUGGCAGAGGCUCGCCUUGUAGGAGACUGUUGCUGAUUACUGCUGACGUGUGGUGGUCUCUAAGGCGCUUAUAGCUGACGAAGCAUCACCCAGGUGGGUGCUACACUUUUCAGUGGUGAAUCUGUAUCGACCGCGGGGGAGGAGUCGCUGUGAACUUCAGAGACAAAGGUGCCUGAUGAAUAGCUCCGGGGCCUGCCUGUCUGAAUAAUCUUACUCCCUAGCUGGCCAAUCGACACCAGCUUGACUAAAGCUUCUCCUGUACAUAACUGCAUCAUCGUCCAGCUGUGGAAGACCAUCUCCCCUGUAUUGCCAGCUCCCUGACAUCUUUUUUUUUGUGUGUGACUGAGAAUCUGUACGAAAAGUGCUAUUAUUAUUAUUAAGAUCCUAUUAAAUUACUAGAGGCGCUAUGUUAUAAACCCUCAAAGUUCCAGAAUGGUAUGAAAAUGGCAGCCAUUGUGGUCAGGCAGAAAUCCAAACCAGUCUUAUUGGGAUGAAUGGCAGUAGAGGCAUAGGUGAUGCAUUCCUUAUUUUACUGAUGCAGGGAAAUAAAAGUAAGGCAUGUGCAGGGGUGUCAUUUCAGCUAAACCUAGGGUAUGGCAAAGUGCAGUGGGUGGGGUUUAAUGAAAUGAAAUCUAUGAAAUGUAUGCAUUCACUACUGUAAGUCGCUCUGGAUAAGAGCGUCUGCUAAAUGACUAAAAUGUAAAAUGUAAAAAAAUUAAGUUCAAGCUCAUUUACUGCAUUUGUACACAAUUCAAAACUCUAAAAUGCAUUUUGGAGAACAGCAAAAGCAACCAAAAUUUACUCCAGCCAUCAUUAAAAUGCAAAUCAAUGAUCAAUCAAAAACAUGCGUUUUUCUGGAUUUUUGUUGUUGUUAUUCUGUCUCUCACUGUUCAAAUAAACCUACCAUUAAAAUUAAA